rnacentral:rRNA from 1 species
UACGAAGGGGGCUAGCGUUGUUCGGAAUUACUGGGCGUAAAGCGUGCGCAGGCGGCUUCUCAAGUCAGGGGUGAAAGCCCAGAGCUUAACUCUGGAAUUGCUUUUGAGACUGAGAGGCUUGAGUACGGGAGAGGUGAGUGGAAUUCCCAGUGUAGAGGUGAAAUUCGUAGAUAUUGGGAAGAACACCGGUGGCGAAGGCGGCUCACUGGCCCGUAACUGACGCUCAUGCACGACAGCGUGGGGAUCAAACAGG